CCAGAAACCUAACCAGCGAAAGGCUACAGAUUUCUUCACAUUGUCCAAUCCGGAGGAGCGAUGUUUCAAUGAUUAAUCAGAACUUCUUCCUAUGUUGGGGUUAUUCAAUAAUAUUCCUGAAGAUCAGGCAGAUGGGAUGAGGGCUAUUGAAAGAAGCAGCCAAAUGAAGAGGAUUGUGGAAGUACUUUGUUGCUGUUUGUGGAUGCAUCCUUUGUGGUAUAAAAUGGUAAAACAUAGAAUUCAUAUAUAUAUAUACUCAUUUGCUCUUAGUUACUUCUUGUUAUAUCUCAGUAGCAGGGUAUAUUUUAUGUUAGUUAAUACUUAAUGGACUUGAUAACGUAAA